UGGAACAGUGAGAAAUGAUUUCUGCGGCUCUUCAUCUGUGAUCCAGGACUUGGGUUUAUCGUGAUAAUGUUGCUUUUAAUGUUGCCUCAGGGAUUUUGCUGCAGUGUCUUCAGUUGAGAUUCAAACAGACAGUGGUCCUGCUGGAAAUCAAGUAAGUCUCUACAACCUGCUGUAUCUCAGCCUUUUGAGGCACUCUCUUCAUGUCCACCUUUGUUGAUAACAAGGAUAAGAUAUGUUCCAUUGUCUUAAGCUGCAUGUUAUGUUUUAUGCAGCAGAUUUUAUGAUGUUUUCUUCUGUUUUCAGAUUGAUCCACGCAGACUUCUCAUCUCUGUGUCCGUGCAUUGCUGACAUGUAUCUGAGUGCUUCAGCUCAGCUGUUCUCUUUAACCUUUCUUUGCAGAAGUUGGUGUCUGCAGGGCAGGAGGGACUUCCGGCCUGCCAAAAAACACCCUGCUAUGCCUCAGCACUGAGGGCCCUUGCUGCUGCCUCCAGGUGACCACUCACACGUUGAUGUGCCCAAUAUUCCUGGAUGCCAGAAACCAGGAAAUGCUGUGUGGUGCAAGUGCUGUCUUGUGAGAAAAUGGGCCUAAACUGGUAUCACUGGGCUCAUUUGAUUGGGCCUCAGAGCAUUUUGUUGAGUAAGGAAAGCCACUGUGAAGCCUUUUUUGUAGGUUUUGGUGUUUGUGGUUUCAGAUUAAAGUAGAUCGGCUUUUUCUUUUUGAAAAAUAAAUAGAAAAUGUAUUUCACUGAAUAAAUUUAAUUACAGUUAUUCGUGUCUUGAAAUCCUUUCAAGCAAGUGUGAACCAUGGACUUAUCGGCCACAGUCCAUUUCCUAUCGGGACACCUCUGGUGUUU